AGUCACGGGGGCCCGCAAGGGCAACCGGCGAACGGGUGCGUAACACGUGAGCAACCUGCCUUUGUGUGGGGGAUAGCCGGGCUAACGCCCGGGUAAUACCGCAUACGGUCACUGGGAGGAGUCUCCUGGUGAAGAAACCUCCGGGGCACAGAGAGGGGCUCGCGGCCUAUCAGCUUGUUGGCGGGGUAACGGCCCACCAAGGCGACGACGGGUAGCUGGUCUGAGAGGAUGGCCAGCCACAUUGGGACUGAGAGACGGCCCAGACUCCUACGGGAGGCAGCAGUGGGGAAUCUUGCGCAAUGGCCGAAAGGCUGACGCAGCGACGCCGCGUGUGGGAGGACGCCUUUCGGGGUGUAAACCACUGUUGCCCGGGACGAACAGCGCUUUUCGAGGCGUCUGACGGUACCGGGUGAGGAAGCACCGGCUAACUCCGUGCCAGCAGCCGCGGUAAUACGGAGGGUGCGAGCGUUGUCCGGAAUCAUUGGGCGUAAAGGGCGCGUA
rnacentral:rRNA from 1 species